GAUGAACGCUGGCGGUCUGCUUAACACAUGCAAGUCGAACGCAACCUUCGGGUUGAGUGGCGGACGGGUGAGUAACGCGUGAGAAUCUGCCUUGGGGUCGGGGACAACCACUGGAAACGGUGGCUAAUACCGGAUAAGCCUUUGGGUAAAAAAUCUAUUGCCCCAAGAGGAGCUCGCGUCUGAUUAGCUAGUUGGUGAGGUAAGAGCUCACCAAGGCAGCGAUCAGUAGCUGGUCUGAGAGGACGAUCAGCCACACUGGGACUGAGACACGGCCCAGACUCCUACGGGAGGCAGCAGUGGGGAAUUUUCCGCAAUGGGCGAAAGCCUGACGGAGCAAGACCGCGUGAGGGAGGAAGGCUCUUGGGUUGUAAACCUCUUUUCUCAGGGAAGAAGCUCUGUCGGUACCUGAGGAAUCAGCCUCGGCUAACUCCGUGCCAGCAGCCGCGGUAAUACGGAGGAGGCAAGCGUUAUCCGGAAUUAUUGGGCGUAA
rnacentral:rRNA from 1 species